rnacentral:rRNA from 1 species
UACGGAGGGGGCAAGUGUUGUUCGGAAUUACUGGGCGUAAAGGGCGCGCAGGCGGCUUGGCAAGUCGAGUGUGAAAGCCCUCAGCUUAACUGAGGAAUGGCGCUCGAAACUAUCUAGCUUGAGGGCGGGAGAGGGAAGUGGAACUCUCGGUGUAGGGGUGAAAUCUGUAGAUAUCGAGAGGAACACCGGUGGCGAAGGCGGCUUCCUGGCCCGUACCUGACGCUGAGGCGCGAAAGCGUGGGGAGCAAACAGG